UACAGGGUAAAGAAAGAGGUGUGUAUUUCUACUUUCUACAAAUUUCUAUUUGUUACAUAUAGCGAUAGGUAAAUAUAACAUUAACGAUCUGCUUUGAAUCCAUUGUUCCUGUGAUUUAUAGGCAGAUUUAAAGGACAGUCUGGACACCAUAACAUUGCCCACGGAGAAACUGUCGGAUUUCAUUUUGGUAAUGCUGUAAAGGAAGUCUAGUCGAGUGGUAUCAGACCCAUAUAAGUAUCAAACUGUCUAAAACAGCUCAACUGGGAGGCAUCAGAGGUCUCCUGGCACCAUUAUUACUACAAAAGUCCUAUUUUAUGGUGAAAUGAUAAAUAAGAACACCUAAACAGAAUCCGUGCAUUCCUAUCCAAGAUGAAUAUUUUUAAGACAUGAACGGCCUCUGCAAAGAGAUUUCCAUGUCUGGAUAAGUGAGCAGUAGUUUGAAGAGGUAAAUCCUUGUGUCCCCUACGUGUAGUGGCCAUAUACCCACAGACCUCCUGGUUACACUGCACAGGUUUUCAUUAUAACCAGAGCAUACUAGGUUAAGAAAGUGGCGUCGGCCUUGCCUCUGUGUCAGAUAUUGCUGCAUUUGAAAAGGAAUCCGUGACAUGAAGUGGUUAAACCUUUUGGAAUACUGAUUUCACUUUUUGUAUAAUAAAUGUGCGAGCUGAUCUUGUCACCUAAUGCAAAGUUUAUGCAACAAGUAAAUGCUGAGCUCUUCAUCCAGAAUGCUAACUAUGAAAAUUAAAUAAAACAAAUGGAGGUUUCCUCAAACUAUCUUUUAAUCAGAAUGAAUUCAGCCCAAUGUACAAUGCUAUGGGUCUGUAAUAGAGUUGAGCGAACCCGAACUAUAAAGUUCGGGCUCGUACUGAACAUUAUGAUUUUUUUGACCCGAACCCAAACCUGGACAUUUUAGUAACAGUUCGAGUUGGAGUUCGGUGUUUGGCGAUUUAAUGACACAUUUUGAAAAGCUGCAGGGCAGCCAAUCAACAAGUGUUUGACUCGUGUGCCCUUAGAAGCCUUCACAGCCAUGCCUACUAAUGGCAUGGCUGUGAUUGGCCAGUGCAGCAUGUGACCCAGCCUCUAUAUAAGCUGGAGUCACACAUCGCCACACGUCACAUGAGCUCUUAUUAGUAUAGGGAGAGGAUGCUACAGCUGUGAGGGACAGAUUAGGAAAGAAUUCUGGUGUUGAAUCUGCCAACUACAGCGGUUAUUUUUGUGGGUGCUAUACUACAUUUUUGUACUCUGCCCUGAGCCCAGUGCCACAGAGAAAUAAGCAAUCAGUCUGUUUGUUAGGUGGGCGUCGGCGGCCAUUUUUGCAAGUGCAGUACACUUGCAACUGCAUGUGUGCCAGGCACAUUACUUUAAUCAUGUUCUGGUAGCACAGUGGGCAACUUCUAGGCAUUUUUAAAUACUGCUGUGACAUUGCAGUCUGACAGAUUUACAUUUUGGUGCUAAAAAUUAAAUUUGGGGUAUGCACUUCAUAUCUGAGAGUCAAAUAGAACCGUCAAAUACUGCUGUGACAUUGCAGUUUGACUAAUUCAAAUGUUGUUGGUGCUAAAAAGUAAAUUUGGGGCAUGAACUUCAUAUCUGAGAGUCAAAUAGAACCGUCAAAUACAGCUGUGACAUUGCAGUUUGACUAACACAUUUUUUUGGUGCUAAAAAUUUAAUUUGGGGUGUGCACUUCAUAAUUGAGAGUCAAAUAGAACCGUCAAAUACUGCUGUGACAUUGCAGUUUGACUAAUUCAAAUGUUGUUGGUGCUAAAAAGUAAAUUUGGGGUGUGCACUUCAUAUCUGACAGUGAAAUAGAAAUGUCAAAUACUGUGGUUACAUUGCACUUUGAAAAAUUCUAAAUUUUUUGGUGCUAAAUUGUACAUUUGCGGCCUGCGGUGCAUUUCUUGCAGUCCAAUAAAACUGUUAAAUACUACUGUUACAUUGUUUGACAAAUUCACAUUUUUUGAGACAGUGAAGUAACUGUAUUAAUUACGCUUGUCACACUGUUGUGUGACCUCUAGAAAUGUUUUCUCUUUAGGACACUGGCACUGCCUUACUGUCAGUGAACUUAAUUGUUGACUAUUGGCGGUUACAUUGUAGCCUGACAUAAACCAUCUGUUAGUCUGGUGGGUGAAUGCACAGAAUCGGGGGGCGUCAAAUAAGGGACGUGACCCUGGUCGUGGUGCUGCUGGUGUUGGUGGAGCUCCUGUUGCAGGGAGAGGACGUGGUCGAUCUGUGCCAGCUAUACGCACAAGUGAAACACCUUCCUCAGGUGCUAGUAGGCGACCGCACCUUCAGCGUUAUUUGGUAGGCCCGAAUGCCGAUCUACGAAUGGUGAGGCCAGAACAACUACAGGUGAUAAUAGAUUGGGUGGCUGACAGUGCCUCCAGUUCCUUCACAUUGUCUUCCACCCUGUCCCCUGCUGAAAGCUCAGAGUUGGCACCUGCAGCCCAUGGCCAUCUGUCUUUCAAAUCACUCACUUGCAAAUCAGCCAAGCAGUCUGAGCCACAAGUCAUGCAACAGUCUCUUAUGCUUUUUGAUGACUCUGCUGGCGGGGUUUCCGUGGGCCAUCCACCUAGCCCUGCCUCAGAAGUGGAAGAGAUUAAGAUUGAGACUGAUGUACAACCACUUAUGUUUCAGGAUGUGGACAUGCGAGGACCACCGCAGCACGUCUCCGAUGAUGACGAAACACAGAUGCCAACUGCUGUGGCUCUCUGCAGUGAGCAGACCGGCAAGGAGGGCAGGGUUGAGGAGUGGGUGGAAGAUGAUGUGGAGGAUGAUGAGGUCCUAGACCCCACAUGGAAUGAAGGUCAUGCGAGUGACGUGUGCAGUUUGGAGGAAGAGGCGGUGGUCGCACAGAGGCACCAGCACAGCAUAAGAGGGAGCAGGGUGCAAAAGCGGAGCGGCCGUCCCAUAGACAGUACGCCUGCUACUGCCCACCGCACACAGGGACCGAGCACACCAAAGCCAGCUACAAGGAGUUCCCUGGCGUGGCAGUUCUUCAGACAAUGUGCUGACGACAAGACACGCUGUGCAAUCAGAGCCUGAAGCGAGGCAUAAACGUUCUAAACCUGAGCACAACCUGCAUGACCAGGCAUCUACAUGCAAAGCACGAGCUGCAGUGGAGUAAGCACCUCAAAGAAAGGUCUCAUGCUACUCCUGCUUCCUCUUCUGCUGCUGUCUUGGCCUCUUCCUCCACCUCUGGAGUGACAGUGGCACCUGCCACCCCGCAAACAGAGGAUGUGGCAGCAACGCCACCACGUCCGCCACCGUCCCCAAGCAUCUCCACACUGUCCCAUGGAAGCGUUCAGCUGUCCAUCUCCCAAACACUGGAGAGAAAGAGGAAGUACCCCCUGCCCACCCGCGAUCCCUGGCCCUGAAUGUCAGCAUUUCAAAAUUCCUGGCCUUUGAAAUGCUGUCAUUCCGUCUGGUGGAGACAGUUUUAAAAACCUGAUGGCGGUGGCUGUCCCACAGUACGUGGUUCCAGCCAACACUACUUUUCAAGGUGAGCCAUCCCUUCCCUGCACAACCAAUAGGCGGACAAAAUCAGGUGUGCACUGCGCAACGCCAUCUGUGGCAAGGUCCACAUAACUACUGAUACGUGGACCAGUAAGCACAGUCAGGGACGCUAUAUCUCCCUAACUGCACACUGGGCAAAUGUUGUGGCGGCUGGGCCUGAGGCGGAUCGCAGUUUGGCGCAUGUCCUUCCGCCACCGAGGAUUGCAGGGCAUUUCUCUUUGCCUCCCGUUGCCUCCUCCUCCUACUCUGCUUCCUCCUCCUCUACCACCUCCUCAUCCGGUCAGCGUAACACCUUCAUCACCAACUUCAGCACAGCCAGGGGGAAACAACAGCAGGUUGUUUUAAAAUUCAUAUGUUUGGGGGGAAAACCCCACACCGCGCAGGAGCUGUGGACGGGCAUGGAACAACAGACCGAUGAGUGGUUGUUGCCACUGAGCCUCAAGCCCGGCCUGGUGGUGUGCGAUAAUGGGCGAAAUCUCGUAGCAGCUCCGGGCCUAGCCGGUUUGACACACAUCCCUUGCCUGGCGCAUGUGCUGAAUUUGGUGGUGCAGAAAUUCCUGAAAAACUACCCAGAUAUAUCAGAGCUGCUGCAGAAAGUGCGGGCUGUCUGUGCGCGCUUUCGGCGUUCUCACCCUGCUGCUGAUCGCCUGUCUACGCUGCAGCGUAACUUCGGCCUUCCCGCUCACCGCCUCAUAUGCGACGUGCCCACAAGGUGGAACUCCACCUUGCACAUGCUGGAGAGCAGCAGCAGACGAUAGUAGAGUUUCAGCUGCAGCACACACGGUCAGUCGCUCUGCGGAACAGCACCACUUCACCACCAAUGAGUGGGCCUCUAUACGAGACCUGUGUGCCAUGUUGUGCUGUUUCGAGUACACCAUUGACACAUAGAAUGUGACAGCAGAUAAGAACCAUUCUGCCCAAUUUUCUAAAUACCUUAUCUUAUAAUUAGGAUAGCUUUAUGCCUAUCCCACGCAUGCUUAAACUCCUUUACUGUGUCAACCUCUACCACUUCAGCUGGAAGGCUAUUCCAUGCAUCCACUACCCUCUCAGUAAAGUAAUACUUUCUGAUAUUAUUUUUAAACCUUUGCCCCUCUAAUUUAAGACUAUGUCCUUUUGUUGUGGUAGUUUUUCUUCUUUUAAAUAUGGUCUCCUCCUUUACUGUGUUGAUUCCCUUUAUGUACUUAAAUGUUUCUAUCAUAUCCCCCCUGUCUCGUCUUUCUUCCAAGCUAUACAUGUUAAGAUCCUUUAACCUUUCCUGGUAAGUUUUAUCCUGCAAUCCAUGAACCAGUUUAGAAGCCCUUCUCUAAACUCUCUCUAAGGUUUCAAUAUCCUUCUGAAGAUACGGUCUCCAGUAUUGCGUACAAUACUCCAAGUGAGAUCUCACCAGUGUUCUGUACAAUGGCAUGAGCACUUCCCUGUUUCUACUGCUAGCAUUUCCUCCUGGUCUAUUACAUUGUCUGCCUACCUUUAAGUCAUCAGAAAUAAUCACCCCUAAAUCCCUUUCCUCAGAUGUUGAGGUUAGGACUCUAUCAAAUAUUCUGUACUCUGCCCUUGGGUUUUUACAUCCAAGAUGCAUUAUCUAGCACUUAUCCACAUUAAAUGUCAGUUGCCACAACUCUGACCAUUUUUCUAGUUUGCCUAAAUCAUUUGUCAUUUGGCUUAUCCCUCCUGGAACCCUGUUACAUAUCUUAGUAUCAUCAGCAAAAAGACAUACCUUACCAUCAAGACCUUCUGCAAUAUCACUAAUAAAAAUAUUAAAGAGAAUGGGUCCAAGUACAGAUCCCUGAGGUACCCCACUGGUGACUACAACCCUCUGUUGCCUGUCACUCAGCCACUGCCUUACCCACUCAACAACAUUGGAAUCCAAACUUAAAGAUUGCAAUUUAUUGAUAAGUCUUCUAUGUGCAACAGUGUCAAAAGCCUUACUGAAAUCUAGGUAAGCGAUGUCUACUGCACCACCCUGGUCUAUAAAAAUCAAUAAGAUUAGUUUGGCAUGAUCUCCCUGAAGUAAGCCCAUUUUGUCUCUGAUCUUGAAAUCCAUGUGUUUUUAGAUGUUCACCAAUCCUAUCCUUUAACAUGGUUUCCAUUACUUUCCCCACUACUGAAGUAAGGCUUACUGGCCUAUAGUUGCCCGACUCCUCCCUAUUACCUUUCUUGUGAAUGGGCACAACAUUCUCUAACUUCCAAUCUUCUGGGACUACUCCUGUUAUCAAUGAUUGGUUAAAUAAAUCUGUUAAUGGUUUUGCUAGUACACCACUAAGCUCUUUUAAUAACUUUGGGUGUAUUCCAUCAGGUCCCAUUGACUUAUUUGUCUUUACUUUUGACAGUUGAAAUAGAACCUCUUCCACUGUAAACCCACAUGUAAUAAAUGACUCAUUUCCACGGUUAUCAGGCCAGUCAUUAACAGUGGCUUGGAGGGUGGGCUCUUGCACCAGCAUAGGCCAGGUACACAAUUGUCCAGCCAGGGCACAGUUCUGGAGGAGGAGGAGGAACCGUGUUCACAGCAGGGUGGCACCCAAUGCAGCUCGUGGGCAUCACUGGAGUGUGGCUGGGGGUAUUUGGAGGACACAGACGAUACACCUCCCACAGAGGACAGCUUGUCCUUGCCUCUGGGCAGCCUGGCACACGAGCGACUACAUGCUGCAGUGCCUGCGCAACAACUGCGGAGUUGCCCACAUUCUAACUUGUGCUGAUUACUGGGUGGCAAGCCUGCUGUAUCCCCGUUACAAGGACAACAUGCCGUCCUUAAUUCCCUCACUGGAGCGUGAUCGGAAGAUGCGCGACUACAAGCGCACGCUGGUGGACUUGCUGCUGAGGGCAUUCCCAACUGACAUCGGGGGCUCAGUGGAAGCACAAGGCGAAGGCAGAGGAGGAGGAAGAGGUCGCCAACGCAGCUGGGGCACCGCCAGCACCUCAGAAGGCAGGGUUAGCAUGGCCGAAAUGUGGAAAAGCUUUGUCAGCAUGCCACAACAACCAGCACCACCAGCUGAUAUGGAAAGUCUUAGCAGGAGGCAGCAUUUCAGCAACAUGGUGGAACAGUACGUGUGCACACGCCUACAUGUACUGACUGGGUCUGCCCCAUUCAACUUCUGGGUCUCCAAAUUGGGCACAUGGCCUGAGCUUGCCCUUUAUUCCUUGGAGGCGCUGGCCUGCCCUGCAGCCAGUGUAUUGUCUGAAUGUGUGUUUAGCACGGCAGGGGGCGUUAUCACAGACAAGCGCAGCCGCCUGUCCACAGCCAAUGUGGACAAGCUCACGUUUAUUAAAAUGAACCAGGCAUGGAUCCCACCAGACUUGUCUGUACCUUGUGCAGAAUAGGCAUUUAUACCGGACUCACCCAGCCAUUGUUAUACUCAAGUGCGCUUAUUCUUUGUUUUCUUUUUUUAUAUGUCCCAAUAUUUUUGGGGCUACCCCAAAAAAUAAAAAACAGUGUUGGCUACCUCCUCCUCCUCC
rnacentral:lncRNA from 1 species